GUUUCCCCCCGGGGAAGUGCUGGGUGUUUGGGUGAGGCUCCGCCGGGAUACCGCGGCCCACGUGGGGCCGGGGAGGAGGGGGCGCAGCGCACCGGACCGCCAGCUCGCCGAGGGCAGGGGAC